UGGAAUUACGUAGCACGCUAGGCGUGUUCACCGGCACUGUUAAGAGGUAAAAUCAAAGAAAGCGUUAUUUCGGCUUCAACCGUGUUUAUUGAUCAGUCUUUCUCGAGUUACUGAAGAGAUAUUUUGUUUUUAGCAGUGUUUGUGCUUUUGAAAGUUAAAUUAUGGCAGUUAGUAGAUUCCAAGGGAAAACAAAAUAUGUGCAAGAAACAGUGGAAUAUGAUGAUGAUGCGACGCAAGCAGAUAGCCCACCCUCACAAAAACGCCCAAAAGUAGGAGGU